rnacentral:misc_RNA from 1 species
AAACUACAAGGGGAGCCGAAGCUCCCCCAGAAGUAGUUGCGUGCUCUAUUUUUAUUAUUGGUUUCGGGCUUCUUGUUUUUGUUGAUCGCCCUCGCCAUGAAGUUUCACCUUCAUGACACUCCCAAUCGGGAGUCAAGAGCAAACGGAUUGCUUUGGUCGCUGUGUUGCUGAUCUACGAUCCAACCAGUUCAGGCUCUGCCUUAGGGCAGUU